UACGAAGGGGGCUAGCGUUGCUCGGAAUCACUGGGCGUAAAGGGUGCGUAGGCGGGUCUUUAAGUCAGGGGUGAAAUCCUGGAGCUCAACUCCAGAACUGCCUUUGAUACUGAAGAUCUUGAGUUCGGGAGAGGUGAGUGGAACUGCGAGUGUAGAGGUGAAAUUCGUAGAUAUUCGCCAAGAACACCAGUGGCGAAGGCGCUCACUGGCCCGAUACUGACGCUGAGGCACGAAAGCGUGGGAGCAACAGG
rnacentral:rRNA from 1 species